rnacentral:snRNA from 1 species
GGAUGUGAGAGUGAUCUGGCUGCAAUAUCUUCCACCCUCGGUGUCCUGGUCUAUGGACGGGGUUGAUCAUGGCUUCAUUCAUCUGCUCUGACUGGCGAGGCCGACGUCCCCUUCUUCCCUUACACUCCGCAUGCAUCCCUCCAGGACACGUGUACUCAAUGGGAGAGGAUGGACUUCCCUGAUAAGAGAGAAUGGUUCUUGGGUCAAGGGUAUGUGAGAAGCUGCACUCCUCUGCAAGGACCUCCAAACAAGUUCCCUAAAAGGACCAACUUCAUAGGACUAUUCUAAGCAUUAAAUGACCAUACAUAUAGCGCG